CCUACGGGAGGCAGCAGUGAGGAAUAUUGGUCAAUGGACGAGAGUCUGAACCAGCAAAGUAGCGUGAAGGAUGACUGCCCUAUGGGUGGUAAAAUUCUUUGAUAUGUGAAUAAAAUGUUCCACGUGUGGGAUUUGGUAUGUACAAUAUGAAUAAGGAUCGGCUAACUACGUGCCAGCAGCCGCGGUAAAACGGAGGAUCCGAGCGUUAUCCGGAUUUAUUGGGUGUAAAGGGUGCGCAGGCGGAAGAUCAAGUCAACGGUAAAAUUGAGAGGCUCAACCACUUCGAGCCGUUGAAACUGGUUUUCUUGAGUGAGUGAGCAGUAUGCGGAAUGCGUGGUGUAGCGGUGAAAUGCAUAGAUAUCACGCAGAACUCCGAUUGCGAAGGCAGCAUACCGGCGCUCAACUGACGCUCAUGCACGAAAGUGUGGGUAUCGAACAGGAUUAGAUACCCUGGUAGUC
rnacentral:rRNA from 1 species